rnacentral:lncRNA from 1 species
CAGACCCAAAACUCCAACACCCCAAAUCCGACCCUGGGUAUCCCAAAGCCCCCAGACCCCAAAUCCUGACCCCAACAAUUUGGAGUUCUCAUUUUUGGGGUUCCAGAUUUUUGGGGUUCCCACAAUUUGGGUUUCCAGUUUUUGGGGUUCCUGGGAUUUUUUUUGUUUCCAUUUUUGGGGUUUUGCCGGUUUUUGGGGUUUUGCCGUUUUUUGGGGUUCCCUGUGCUUUUCGGGUUCCCACAAUUUGGGGUUGGGUUUUCCAUUUUGGGGUUCCCGGUGGUUUUGGGGUUUUCCCAUUUUUGGGGUUCCCGGUGUAUUUGGGGUUCCCAUUUUUGGGGUUCCCAUUUUAUGAGUUUCCCAUUUUUGGGGCUCCCGGUGUUUUUGUGGUUCCCAUUUUGGGGUUCCCAUUUUUGGGGUUUUCCCAUUUUUGGGGUUCCCAGUGUUUUUGGGGUUUUCCCAUUUUUGGGGUUCCCAUUUUGGGGUCCCCAUUUUGGGGUUCCCAUUUUUGGGGUUUUCCCAUUUUUGGGCUCCCCGGUGUUUUUGGGGUUUUCCCAUUUUUGGGGUUCCCAUUUUAUGAGUGUCCCAUUUUUGGGGCUCCCGGUGUUUUCGUGGUUCCCAUUUUGGGGUUCCCAUUUUUGGGGUUUUCCCAUUUUUGGGGUUUUCCCAUUUUUGGGGUUCCCGGUGUAUUUGGGGUCCCCAUUUUGGGGUUCCCAGUGGUUUUGGGGUUCCCAUUUUUGGGGUUUUCUCAUUUUUGGGGUUCUCGGUGUUUUUGUGUUUCACAUUUUUGGGGUUUCCGGUGUUUUUGGGGUUGGGGUUCCCAUUUUUGGGGUUCCCUGUGGUUUUUGGUGUUUCCAUUUUUGAGGUCCCCGGUGUUUUUGGGGUCCCCAUUUUUGGGGGAUUCCCGUUUUUGGGGUUCCCGGUGUUUUUGUGGUUCCCAUUUUGGGGUUCCCAUUUUUGGGGUUCCCUGUGAUUUUGGGGUUCCCAUUUUUUUGGAUUCCCAGUGUUUUUGGGGUUCCCGGUGUUUUUGGUGUUCCCAUUUUUGGGGUUCCCAUUUAGUGAGUUUCCCAUUUUGGGGUUCCCGGUGUAUUUGGGGUUCCCAUUUUUGUGUUUCCCAUUUUUGGGGUUCCCGGUGUUUUUGGGAUUUUCCCAUUUUUGGGGUUCCCGGUGUUUUUGGGGGUUCCCGGUGUUUUUGGGGUCCCCAUUUUUGGGGGUUUCCCAUUUUGGGGUUCCCGGUGUUUUUGGGGAUCCCGGUGGU